GCCUGUUUANCAAAANCAUAGCNUUNCGUGCUUUAAAAUAAGUAGAUGCGAAGUGAGCCCUGCCCAAUGAGUAUAAAUUUGCUUUAAUGGCCGCAGUACCCUGACUGUGCUAAGGUAGCAUAAUCAGUUGGCUUUUAAAUGGAGUCUGGUAUGAAUGGGUCCACGUGGGUGAGCUGUCUCCUCCUUAAUAAAAGUAAGUUGAUCAGUAGGUGAAAAUGCCUACAAUGUAACAAAAGACGAGAAGACCCUUAGAGUUUUGCUAAAGCACGUACGUGGUGGCACCACAGCCAGUGCCCACUUGGGGGUACGGCAAGUAGUGGUGAGACAAAAGUAUGUCUGUUAGUUUUGCUGGGGCGGCUAGGAAACAAGACAGUUUAGUUGUAAACUAGAUUAACUUUCCGGUUAUACUACUCUGAUGUGCCGAGACAAAAAGUGGCCAUAGCCAUAAUUUAUUAAGAACAAAUAAACUACCUGAGGGAUAACAGCAUAAUUUUUAUAUAAGUUUGUGACCUCGAUGUUGGACUAGGGACCCUACGGCUAGACGCCUCAUGGGCAGGUUCUGUUCGAACCUCUUACCCCUACGUGAUCUGAGUUCAGACCGG
rnacentral:rRNA from 1 species